AGGGACAGGCAGAGACAGAUAGGGACAGAUAGGGUCCUACAGGGACUUGAACGAGGAAGAUCUGCUGGAAAAGAAAAGAACUACAACCAACCAGAUGAACAAGAAACCCUGUUACAAGUCUGCUGGCAGCAACAUAAGGAAAUGAACAAAAAGUGUGGGUGCCCCCAAGGUGUGUACUACCAUGGAAUGGGAGAUUGGAGGGACACAUGGAUCCCAACCGUGGGCCUGGUUCCCCCAGUAUGAGCUGAAUACGAAGACAGAACAAACCACCAACCGGCAAUUGAAGUGACACAAAGUGAACCGGGUUCUAUAAAUUACCAUGGAAAGUGGUGAGCCAACGAUUUGGCAGAACAAAACCCUGAGGAUAUGCAAACAAAAGGGACUAUGGAAUUUGCAAUUGCAGAUUAAAAUUGAAGAAGAAAACAUUUGAGUUGCAAAUACCGUAUUAAAAGUGGACACUGCUUAUGACUGCUGUAUGCAACAGUUUUUCAGGCCCGAGGUGAUAAAUAAAAAAUUGUUUGCUCUAUUUAA
rnacentral:lncRNA from 1 species